UUUGUUUGAUAAUUACCAAAU
rnacentral:piRNA from 1 species